GACUCAUACACUAUCUCUGCUGGAGGGAGCUCAUAAACCAGCCAAACCACCUGGUCAGGACUAAGGGAGUUGCAGUGAGAAUAUCCCAGAGUAAAAAAUACUCUGGGGGUCAGCCAGAGCAACUUACCCUGUUCGUCCGACCUUCAGGUAAGGUGAUGGGAGCACGCCAACUCCUGGACACGAGAAGUGCAGAGGAUACCGAUCCCGCCAAAAACAGCUACCGAAAAUCACUCCCGGACCGUAAAUGGAGGACCAGGUUGGAGAUACAGUAAAGAGAAUAGGAUAAAAAC